rnacentral:tRNA from 1 species
ACUUUAAUAGUUUAAUUUAGAAUAUAGUAUUGAAGCUACUAUGGUAUUAUUUAUUUAAAGUA